rnacentral:rRNA from 1 species
CAGCAGCCGCGGGAAUACGUAGGGUGCGAGCGUUAAUCGGAAUUACUGGGCGUAAAGCGUGAGCAGGCGGUUCGUUAAGACAGAUGUGAAAUCCCCGGGCUUAACCUGGGAACUGCAUUUGUGACUGGCGAGCUAGAGUAUGGCAGAGGGGGGUAGAAUUCCACGUGUAGCAGUGAAAUGCGUAGAGAUGUGGAGGAAUACCGAUGGCGAAGGCAGCCCCCUGGGCCAAUACUGACGCUCAUGCACGAAAGCGUGGGGAGCAAACAGGAUUAGAUACCCGCGUAGUCCCUGUCUCUUAUAC